CAGUCGCCGCGGGAAUACGUAGGUGGCAAGCGUUGUCCGGAAUGAUUGGGCGUAAAGGGCGCGCAGGCGGCUGUGUAAGUCUGUCUAGAAAGUGCGGGGCUAAACCCCGUGAGAGGAUGGAAACUGGACAGCUGAGAGUGUCGGAGAGGAAAGCGGAAUUCCUAGUGUAGCGGUGAAAUGCGUAGAUAUUAGGAGGAACACCGGUGGCGAAAGCGGCUUUCUGGACGACAACUGACGCUGAGGCGCGAAAGCCAGGGGAGCAAACGGGAUUAGAGACCCCUGUAGUCCCUGUCUCUUAUAC
rnacentral:rRNA from 1 species